GCAGAGUUUACAAAGGGCUUUGGGCACCCAACUGAAUUUUAGUACCGUUUUUCACCCUCAGACAGAUGGUCAAUCAGAGAGAGUGAUCCAGAUCUUAGAAGACAUGUUAAGGGCUUGUGUUUUGGAUUUUGGAGGAAAUUGGGCAGAUUACUUACCUUUGGCAGAGUUUGCUUAUAACAACAGUUACCAAUCUAGUAUUGGCAUGGCACCUUAUGAAGCACUCUAUGGGAGACCUUGUAGAUCGCCCUUAUGUUGGAUAGAAAUGGGUGAGAGUCGUUUGUUGGGACCUGAGAUUGUCCAAGAGACUACAGAGAAGAUACAACUCAUCAAGGAAAAACUUAAGACUACCCAAGAUAGACAGAAAAGUUAUGCAGACAAAAGGAGAAGACCCUUGGAGUUUAAGGAAGGGGAUUGGGUGUUUGUAAAAGUGUCCCCUUGAAGAGGCAUAUUUCGAUUUGGGAAGAAGGGGAAGUUAGCCCCUAGGUUUGUGGGACCAUUUCAGAUUGAUAAGAGAGUUGGCCCAGUGGCAUACAAGUUAAUUUUGCCUCAACAGUUGUCCCUUGUGCAUGAUGUUUUCCAUGUGUCGAUGCUAAGGAAGGGUACUCCAGAUCCAACUUGGGUAGCGGACUUGCAAGAUGUUCAGAUUAGUGAAGAUACUUCUUAUGUGGAGGAACCUUUACGAAUUCUGGAAGUUGGAGAGCAUAGGUUCAGAAACAAGGUGAUUCCUGUAGUCAAAGUGUGGUGGCAACACCAUGGGAUAGAAGAAGCCACUUGGGAACCUGAGGAAGAAAUGAGAUGACACUAUCCGCAACUCUUCUGCGAAUUUUAAGGUAAGCUAGUUUAAAUUUCGGGACGAAAUUUCUUUUAGGGGGGUAGGAUGUAAUGACCGGGUAUUUUAUGCCACGUUGGUAAUUUUAGUUUGAAAAGUCUUAUUUUGUGUGCUGGUUGAAAAGUCAAAAAGAAAAGUGUUUGGAGAACACGUAUCAAUUUCAGAUUGGUGAAUUUCGUUUUAUUGUGUCGGUCAAUUAAACGAGUUGAAAUUUUAUGUCAUGUCAGCCUUAGGGUAGAAAAUUUCUUAGGAUUUUAGAAAUUGAAAUUUUCCGGGAAAAAAAAAAGAAUUAAUAAAAAAAAUAGAAUUAAUUAAGAAAAAUUAAAUUAAGUUAAUGAAUAAUAAUAUUGAGAAAUUUAGUUUUUAAUUGGUGUUAAUAAAUAAAUUUGCGUGUUAAAAAAAAAAAUUGGAAAUCAAAUAAAACAAUUAGAAUAAACAAAACAAAAGAAAAUAAAAGAAAUAAAAUAAAAAUAUUCAUUGGUCUUUGAAUAUUGGCCGUUUGAAAUGGGUUGUAAAAGAAAAAUAAUAAUAAUAAUAAUGGAUUGGGCUUAGAUAUUGAGUUGGGCUUGGCUUAAGUGGUUGGUGGCUUUUAAAAGCCAUGUGAAGUGGGCUGGUGGUUUUUAAAAGCAAGUGGGCUGGUGGCUUUUUAAAAGCCAUGUGAAGUGGGCUGUUAAAAAAAAAAAAAAAAAGGGAAAAGGAGGAGAAUUGCAGAACGCGGGGCAGAGAGAGAGAGAAAGGCUAAAUUGGGUCACUCGCCGGAUUUUUGACCGGCUGUUUGGACGACCAAACGAUCUCCGUUUCGGCCCAAAUUCGGAGGAAGUACUCUAUUCGACUAGAGGAACAAGUCUACGGUGGCUGAUUUCGUUUUUAAUGGACAAAUUCUCAUAUUUGUGGUAGGGGACCCUAACUCUAAAAAUUAAAUUUUUAUGUUUUUCCCUUGAAAAAAAAAAUUAUAAAUCUGAUAAUUAUGAGUUAAGUAGGUAAUUGUAAUGUUGGGUGAAUUUUCUGGAAUGCUUUGGGAUUUGUUCUGGAUUUUUUUGUAAUUUCUGGAAUUCUUUGUAAUUGAUAAAUAAUUAUUUUAAGUAUUAAAAAUUGUUAGAAAUGUAGGAAAAUUCCGGAAUUAGGACAAGAUUUCAAAUCCAGUGAUUUAUGAAUUUUUGAAAAUUGAUUGGAAUAUUUGCGGUAAUUUUAUUGUGAAAAAUUAGUUAUUUUCAAAUAUUAGGAAUUAUUAGAAUUAUUGAAAAAUUCUGAAAUUGUGAUAUAAAUUCAAGUAUAUUGAUGUGUGAAUUUUCGAAAAUUCAUUGGUAUAUUUUCAGGAAUUUUAAUGUGAAAAUUUUAUUUUAUUGGGUUAUUGAAAAUGUUGGAAUUGUUGAAAUUAUUAAGGAAUUUUGGAGUUUGUGGCAUUCAUUUGCAUCAUGGUUGUAUGAAGAAAAAAAAAAUUGUGAAAAGUGUAUGAAAUGGAAAAAAAUAAAAUAGUUAUGAAAAGUGAAAGCCCGUGUGAGGCGAACUAAGAAGGGAGAGAGAUCCCUAGGGUGAAAGACCCAAAAGUUUACCCCGGGAAGACUCCGAAUGGGGAGUAUAUUUGGGUGCGGACGCGUAUCCUUCGGUGAAAGCCCGAGAACGAUAGAGCAUUGUAUGACUGUGUGUCACACGUUCAUAUGCAUUCAUUUAAUGAUUGGAUGUUGUGGGAUUGAGUAUAAUGUUAUAUGUUAAAUUGUGUGACUUGAUUUAUAUUGGUAAACUAUUGUGUUUGGGUUAUUGAAAUAUAGAAAUUCCCCCAUUAACCCUUUGGGUGUUAGGCACCUUACUGAGCAAUGUGGAAAUGCUCACCCCUUCAUUUUUAUAUCUUUUUAGAUGCAUAUAUCACUCUUGAGGAUCCACAGAUGGGACAGGGAGGACUUCAGGAUGCCCCUAGAGCGGUUUAGUGGAAAGGUUUUAUUUUUUUUUUUAUUGUGUUUGUGGCAUUGAGACCUUGUAAUAAGUGAAUUAUGGAUGAUGUAAUAAGACCUUAGUUUGAUUAAGAGGAUUUUUAUGAAACUUUAUUUUGGGAUGCAAUGAUGUUUAUUAAAUCUUGAUGUGUUUGUGUAAGGUUUUAAAAUAUUGUUAGUUGGUGAGAACCCUAGUGGGACUUAUAUGUGAAAAAAAAAAAAUUCAGAGUGUUUUAGUUGACUGCCAACGUGGAAUAGGAGAAACCCUUAGGGUCAAACCUUUGACCUGGGGUCAUAGGCCAAAUUUUGGGUCGCUCGGAAUUUGGGUCGUGACAUGAACUUUCUAGGUGAAGAUGGUCUUAGCUCCCUCUCUCCUCGCCUGCCCCUUCAGAGUGUGUCCUCCUUCCCUCCGUUCACCGUCCGUCCUCUGGAAAACCCCCCAUGUCUCAGCUAUACCCACCCUCAUGUUUCUCCAUCAGCCAGCAUGACUUCUUUCAACCACCCUCAUGGGCAGCCAUGCCUUUGGCCAGUUAUCCAUGCGGCUGGUCUCAUGCAUGGGGAGGUCCCCCCAUUCUUCCACAAAUGUAAUGAAAAUGAGAGAAUCAUUCUCCCGGGCCCCCUCACUUCAAAAGGGGUCUACAAUAAUAUUUGAUGAUAUUUAAUUUACAAGUUACAACAAACAAAUAAUACUAAUAUUUAAAAAAAAAAUAUUGUAACAUUUCAUGUAACUUAUUACUAAAAAGUUAUGUUCAAAAAGUUAUUAAAAUAAUGAAGAAAAAAUAUUUAAAAAAAUUAAACUUUUUAUUUUAUAAUAGUAAAAAUAAACUUUAAAAUACUUUUUAGUAUAAAAAAAUUAAAAUAGUGAAUAUAUUUAUUUUAAAUGGUAUUUUAAUCAUUAAACUAUUUACUUCUAAAAUGUAAAAUAUAAAAAUAAAUGUAAAAGAUAAUUUUUAUUUAUUUAAAUUAAUAAUUUUUUUUAGAAAGUAGUUUCCAAAAUAGUCUUUGAAUCAUUAAUAUAAUUUUUUUAUUUGUAAUUUAAAAAUAAAAAUAAUGUUAAUUUUUCAAUUAUUUAUAAAAGAAUUAAAAAAAUAAUGAAAAAUAAAAAAAUGGUUAAAUAAGAAAAAAUAGUGGCAAGUAGUAGAAUAAAGACAAAAAUGAGUUAAAUGAGUAUUUUUGUCAAUUAUUAUCCCAUAUCCUUAUCAUUAAUUAUGGGUGGUUGGAGGACCUUAUCUUAAUUAUAAACCCUAUAUGGGUUGAAAACACAAUUGUCCCUUGUUUUUUCCCGAAGAUAGUUUAUAUUAUUAUUCUAUCACUCUGAGUUUUGCACAUAGCUUUGGAAUUAAGUUAACACUUAAAAAACCUUUUUCAUAAGAAAGGUAUUUAAUAUUUUAAAUAUUUCUAACCUAGUUUAUGCAUAAGAAUCAAGAUUGCUUAUAGUAGUUUAUAACUCUGACAACCUUUUUUAUUUUUUUAUUUUCUAUUGCAAAUCACCAUUUUAAUUCUUUUAUAAAGAAUUAAAAAAAAAACACAAUGAUUUACUUCAUGAGCGAGGUAUUUAAUUCAAGUCGAGUAUGAUUCAACUUGAAAAAUAAUAGAAGAAGCAUCUCGGAGUUCUUCAUUUUAGAACAUGGUAUUUUUUUUAUUUAAUUUAAUUUUAAUAUAUAUAUUUUCAUGCAUGCUAUUAGCCUAUUAUAUGUAUGCAUGUUUGUGCCUUUUUAUAACAUAAAGAAAAAAGAGAUGCUCCACUGGUUAGGCAAGAUUCCUCUCAAAGAUGUCUUGGGUUCUAAACCUAACUUCUAAAGUUUUCAAGGGGGAUUGAUUGGGUGUAUGACGCUUCCCAUUCCCUCUCAGUCCCCUUCAAUGUUGCUUCAUUUGGAUCUCAAAUCCCUCACCACAAAAAGUUACUUCCAUACUACGUACAUGUAAUGUACAUAGAUACGAGCAUGUAAAUAUUUAAAAAAGAUACUUAUUAUAAAUACGAGCAUGUAAUGUACAAGUAAUAUGAGACAAACAUAAUACUUUUUUUAAAUUAGUAAAUAUUUAUUUAUCUAUAGAUUAAUAAAUUAUUUAUUUAUUGAUAAACAUAUAAUUUUAUUAAAAUAAUAAUUUUUUAUUGUUGAAAGUAUUAUUUUAUAAGAAUUUCAAGCAUUGUUGGAAAAUGUUUUUUAAACCAAUUUUGAAAUUUGGUUUUUUUAAUACGUUUUGAAAAUUAUUUUUUGAUGUUUUGUAAAAAAAAUAAUUGGUUUGGAAAUUUAAAAUAUUUUAAACCUAUUUUUCAUAUUUUUAAAUAUGUUUUAAAAAUAUUUUUUAUUCAUAAUAUUUUAUUUUUAUUCAAUAAUUUUUUUAAAACAAUCUUUAAAAAAAUAAGUGAAAAUAAUUAAAAAAAUAUUAUUUAAAAACAUCACUUUUUUUUAUUUUUAAAAAUAGAAAAUUAUUUUUUAAUAAAAAAAGUAUUUUUGUAUUUUUUUUAAUUUUAAAAAUUAGAAAACUACUUUGGAAAAAAUGAUAACCAGGGCAUUGAUCUGAUGAGCGUCCAAAUUUAUUUUCCAAAAAAGAAAAAGAGAGGAUUGUAAGCUGUUAACCUUCCCGCGCAUUCGAAUUGCUACCCUAAACAGCAGGAAACAAAUCGUCUUGCUAACAGCGCGUCGCCAUCCAGCCCUCUUAUAUAGGGUUUAUGGGUCGCAGCCAAGCGCAGCUUGGUCUAGGGUUUUAGUCUUGGAACAUUUUCCUCUCGGAAAUGGCUUUCUGGGGUUAGUUUUCCUUUUCCAUUGAGUUUGGUAACAGAGAAAAGCCAAGAAAUUACAAGGAUUUCAUUCAUAAUCAUUGAAGUUCAUUUAAUUUCAUAUUUUCUUCUCAUUUUCUCUUCUUUUCUCAGCAACCAAACAGACCAUUUCUUCAGUUUCUUCUAUGAUUCUAUUAAAUAUCCUUUCUUUCUCUUUCUGUUGUUUCUUCUUCUUUUUUCUAUUUUAUGUUGCAUCACCAAGGAAGAAACUGAAGUUUGCUUCUUGUUUUUUUUUUUUUUUUUUUUUGUGCUGUUUGACGGCCGAGAGAAUAUGUGGAAAAGGAGAAAAACAAGGUUUUGAAAACUUAUGUAUGGUUUUGGUUUGGAUUUCAAAUGUUGAAAAUUCACCCUUAGCUGUUUGGUUGUGUUAGGCUGACUUGGGUGGAGGGUUUUAUUUUAUCUGACCCAAAUGAUGAAAAAUUUAAGAUUCAGAUUUCUGAUUUAUUUAUUUAUUUUUCAUUUUCCUUUCCCAUAUUUUCUUGGCAGCCAAAGGGAGGACCUUUUAGAUAUAUACCAUGUAAUGAGUUUUAAAAUUUCUAAAUCACCUUCUUAUAUUUUCAGGAAUUGAAGUGAAACCUGGAAAGCCUUUUACUCAUUCAUUUGAUGGCCAGCGUGGGAGGCUUCACAUUUCCCAGGUAAUGCUUCUUUAACAAAUUUGCAAUUCCUUUCCGCUACCACUUACACCCUGAUUGGUUGCUGAGCAAGCGUUGGAAAAGGAUAUAAAUUGACAAUACAAUUAUUAGUCUUAUAAAAUGUAAGAUUCAAUUUACUUAUAUUUUCAUUUUCUCUCUUUCUCACAGACCAAAGAGAGGGUUAUUAGUGUAGCUUUGAUUUCUGUAUUUGGUGUGAAAUUUUAAAAGUUUUGGACUGUUUUCUAUAUUGGCUUUUGCCCUUUCAAUUGAUAAAUUGUAUUGUGAUCACUUUAGGCAACAUUGGGGAUAGGUGCUGCAAGCAAAAAAAGCUUAGUACAGUGUAAUGUAGGCAAUAAGAGUCCUGUUCUCUUGUGCUGCUUGUUGCCUGAUAAGACAGAAUCAUGCACUUUGAGUUUAGAAUUUGAGGAGGUUGAAGAAGUGAUCUUCUCUGUUAUUGGUCCGCGGAGUGUUCACCUUACUGGUUAUUAUCUCGGUAAUGGCCGGCAUUCCAAUUUUAAUGAGGACUCGUAUCCUUUUGUUGGUUUACUUAUGCAUUUAGACUUUUGCUUAUUUCUUUUCCUCUUGUAUCUUCUUGGUUCCUAGGAAAACUAGGGAAAUUAAAAUAUUUCUGAAUGCUGGAUUUUUUCCCUUUGUUAUUUGGAUUGACUUGAUUGAGAAAAUAAAGCCUUUCACCUACUUAAGCAGGCAUGAUCAUAUUUGGUUUAGAUCAGGUGAGAUUUGCCUUUUUAGAACCAGAACAAUAUACAUCAUAAGAUUCAAAAAAUAUAUUCUUUAUUUAUGUCUUUCUUCCUAGAAACCAAUAGAAAGAUCAUAGCAUGCACUUAAGUUGCUAUUGUCUGUUUACUUUAAUUUUGUUGUGGGGAAAUUGUUCUGUUUUUCCUUGACUAUGAUGGCAAGAGAAUCCUAUGGAGAAGAUAUUGCAGAUACAGAGACAGAGAAAUCUAAUGACCAUGGUGAAGAAGAUGACUAUGAGGAUAGUUUCAUUGAUGAUGGUGAACUAGAGGUUUUCCCUUCUUCACCAGUUUCCAGUGAUGGGGGUAUAUUUCACACUUUAUGUGUUUUUGAAUUUUGCAGCUAUAAAUUCUACUAGUUGGGCAGAUAAGAUUAAUUUUGUAGGCUUAUAUUAAAAACUUGUGGAAAAUGUAGCAUUAGUUGUGUUUUAUAUGUUAUUAUUACUGGAUUAUUUGAUACCUUUCCAGAUUUUUAUGUACUUAUUUCUUAUUGGAUACAAAUGUACUUUGGUUUUCAACUUUCAGAGUGCUACAAAUUUAGGAUUUAAUGGAUUCCACUCUUGUCUAGGUGAUCUUCAGAGUGGAAUACACUCUUAAUAAAUUUAUUCAUGAUUACUUUUUAAUGACAAUACAUAGAUAUAGUAGCAAAUUUUUGUUAGAUGUUGGUCAACAUUGCAAUUACAAUUCACCCAAUAAGAAAUGAAAUUUAAUUGAAUGUUGUAUCAACUAAUCUAGUGAUGAGGACGAGGGUUAGUAUUAGUUGAAAUUAAAUUGGGAUUAAUAUUAGUUGGAAUUAAAUUAGGAUAAGUAUUUGUUGGAGUCAAAUUAUAAGUAGCUAAUUAGGUUAUAAGACCAUUAGAAUUAGAGUCAUAAUGGGUUAUUAGAAUCUUAGUAGACUUUAGAUUUCUUAGAGAAACCUAUAAAUAAGGCUAGUUGAUGUAAACUAAAGUAUUGAUUGGUGAUUAAAUAUUAUAAAUUUUUUUGCAAGUGUUGCAAUUCUCAAUGGUAGAACUCUGUUUGAUUUUCUUCUUGGUGAGGCUCCUAGAAAGCCUAUUGUGACUCUUAAGGAUUUUAUCCCUUCUUCUCCUUAUCUUCUUUUUCCAUAUUUUAUUCUAUUGUGAUAAACUUUAUCUCUUGUUCCUCUCCUUAAACCCUAAAAGAUAAAAAUCCUAAUCCACUUAUUCAAUUGUAGGUAGCCAUCCGAGGGUUGUCCUACAUCAUCCAGUGAUUUGUGUAUUUAUAUGUGCUUAGUCAUAUACUACAAGUUAAUUGUGAUUGAUAAUUUAAGUCGAUAUCCUCUGUUAUGUAUGAUGGUAAACUUUUGACUUCCUAGCCUAGAGGUUUUAUUCUUUUGAGCAGCCUUUGUGCAAAAAAGGCUGGAGGUUAGGAGUUAGAACCAUAUCCAAUUUGUCCCUCCCAAGUGUUGGAACAGUGUGCAAUGGCCUUUUCCAAUAUCUAUCAUCUUGUGGAUCAUUUUUAGCUUGUUUUUGAGACUGUUUAGAGCAAUUCUAUAAUUGGUUCUAAUAGGUUGUUUAAUUGAACAUGCAGGAACAAAAAAUUUUGAAUUUGACUUUUAUGUAGUUAGAUAGCAUGAUCAGAUCAGUUUGCAUUGGGAUUGCACACUUAAUGAAUUGAUUUUGGAUAUCCUUCAGCAUGAUUCAUUUCCAUUCUAUUGUUGUUUUCAUUUCAUGUAUACCAUUUGUCCUAAAUGUUUAUUGGGCAUUUUAUUUAGAUAAGAGCAUUUAGGGUUAUUAAAUUGCCAUUGUUCUGAGGUGUUUGCUUUUUGAACUUUUGGUUAUUCUGAUUCCAGUUUUGCUUGAGGAGAAAUUGGAUGGUAAAAAAACCAACAACGGGAAGAGCAGCCACCGAAGACUUAAGAAGAAGUACCAGUUGAGUGAAUCUGAUGAUGACAUUAGUUUGCAACAAAAUAUUGCCAAAGGUAGUGCUGGUGUCCUCGUGUUGGAGAGUGAUAGUGAAGAUAAGAUCCCAAUUUCCUCCCUAUAUAAGAGUAAAACCAUUGAAAAGAAUGCAAAACUUGAAGAAGAAGAAGAAGAAGAAGAAAAGAAAGCUGGAAAUGGUAUAGGAGGAGAGAGAGGCCACAAUAAGCUAGAAGAUGGAAAAGGUCACAAGGACACAGAAGAGAAAGAAAAUGCAGGCACAGAAAAAGAUGGCAAUCAUUCUAUUGGAUCAAAAAGAAAAAAUAAUGCUGUUGGCAUAGGUGCUGGGCCUGAAAGGUAAAGGUGGCCUUGACAUAAGCUGUGGAAGCUAACUCAUCUCAUGCUUGAAUUUGAAUUUGUUCUUUUCACAAGUUGUACCCUUAGUUUACAAAAUCAAACACUAUGCUUAAACAGUUUGAAAUUUCUCAUUUUCAUCAUUUUCUUGAUCGAAGUCCAUGAUAGUGAAGAAAAAUGUUUAUAUAUAUAUGUGUGUGUGUGUGUGCGCAUGUGUGUGUGUGUGUGUGCGCACGUGUGUGUUUGGAUAUUAAAGCAAGUGUCCAAAUGUUGCUUCCUGUUUUGAUGCUCACUUUGGUGUUCUUAUGAUGUUUUAGCAAUGUUGGACUGUCUUAUUGACAAUCUUCUUUGUGUUUUUUCUUGUUGGAUAUGCUCAAGCAGGCAAUCUGACCUGCCAAUUGGUUCUGUCCUGCAUUCUACUGAAUUGGGCCCUGAAAAUGGCAGAAAGUCAAAGAAGAAAAGGAAAGAUCGGUCUAAAGGGGUAAAGCAUCUGGAGGUUGACAGUGUUAACCAUAAAAAUGACCUUAAAGAGGAUAAAGCCCCACAAAACGAGAAUAAGGCUGAUAACAUGGACCAGAAUCUGCCGGAAAGAAAAGAAAAUCAGAGGCCUAACAGUUAUAAGUAAGUUGUCAUUUACUAUGGUGUGUGUACUGUGUGGAGGAAUGUAGGGGUCUGUUUGGUAACUGUUUUCGAAAACAGUUUUGAAAAAUAGUUUUUAAGAACAAUUUUUGAAAAUUGUUCUCUGAUGUUUUGUCGAAUAAAAGUAUGUUUGGAAACUUAAAAUGUUUUAAACUUGUUUUUAAUAUUUUUAAAUAUGUUUUAAAAAUAAUUUUAUAUCUAGUAUUUUAUUUUUAAUCAUUUUAUAUAUUUAUAUAGUUAUUUUUUAAAACAACGCUCAGAAAACAAGUGAAAGCAAAAGAAAAUAACUAAAAGAUGUUCUCUAAAAACACCAUGUUUUUUGUUCUAAAUAACAGAAAAUAGAAAACAGUUUUUGAUUAUCAAACGUGUUAUCCUAUUUUUUUGUUAUGGAGAAUAGAAAACUUUUUUCGAAAAUAGUUGCCAAACAGGCCUUAGAUUUUCCAUCUUGUUAGUUUUUUGGAAUCAUUUAGAGCAAUUCAAUUUUUCAAUGUUUUUAGUAUCGGAUUGGUCAUUGAACCAAAAAAGUUACUAGGUCAUGUACCAAUGGUUGGACUGAUGGUUGACCCAUGGUCGAAUCAUGAUGGUCAUAUGACAUCAUAAAUAUACAUUUUAUAUAUUAUUAAAAUUUAAAAUAAUUAAAAAAAGUUAAAAUUAUCCAUAAAAAAUUAAAAUAUUUUGUCAUUUUAUCUUUAAUAUUCUCAUAUUUAAUUAUGAUUAAGAUGAAAUAUAAUUGCAUUAAUAUUUUUUUUAUUAAAUAACAAAAUUAUAAUAUUUAAUUGUCAAAUAGAUAUAUCAUAUAGGGAAAUAAAAUUUUAUUAUGUUUGAAUGUUUAAUAUAUUUAUUUGAACUACCUUAAACUUAUCAAAUAAAUAUUUAUUUUAACUACCUUAACAUAUAAGGCUUUUGGCCUAGUGGCAAUACAUUCCCAACCUAAAUCUUUUGGAGAAGGCUUGAGUCUUCUCUACUCCAAAGAAAAACAAAAGAACAGUCUCUUGCAAAAUAAAAAAAAAUGGAACCAGAUCACUUUGACAUUUGAAAAUGAUUUUAAAUGGCACUUGCCAAUGGGGUAACUUCCUUUCAUUAAUCAUAUAGGUAACAUAUGUCUAUAUAUAUAUAUAAUAAACAUUUUUUUUGUGAAAAGAAAAAUUCAAUCAAUAAAUUAAUUUUAAACAUAAAAAUAUUUUUUAAAAUAUAUUUGUAAAUGAAUAAUUAAAUACAAAAGAAAUAUAUGCUUGUAAAUAAAAUUAUAAAUAUUUUUAAACAUAAAAUUAAUCAUUUAUAUAUAUACAUUGUUUUCAUAUUUUUAAAUACAUUCUCUUAUCAAAAAAAAAAAAAUUAAAUUAAAUACAUUCAAACCAGGUAUUUUAAAUGUAUUUUCAAGUUCUAUAAAAUUAUUGCCAAAAAGUCACAAAUAUAUCAUCCAAGCAUCAAUUUCUUCAACAAAACAGCUUUAAUAUGUGUAUUAUUAUUUAUUUUGUCAUUUUUUUGGAGUGUUCUGCAACAUUUCUUUGAGUUUUGAUCAAUUUCCAUCUCAUUGAUAUUUUUGGUUUAAAUUUCCGUAGAUAUUUUUUCUCUAAAUUUCCAUAGAUAUUUUUUUGAUAUUUCUGUAAAAUCCAACUGCAAUGGAAACCGAUAUGUUUAUUCUUGCUCUCCAGUCAAUUUUGCCUUUUGUUCAUAUGUGAUCUAAGUGGCUGCAAGCUGAACAAACCUUUCCAUCCUCAUUGCUCAAUGUUAUUUUGAUUUGUGUGCUCUACACUAUAACUAUAUAAAGAAGUUCUCUAUACAUUAUGUGCAGGAGUUGUGACACAAAGGUGGACCAAUUAGCUGGUGACAAUCAGAGUGAUGAGAAAAAGAUAAAGAGGAAGAGAAAGAAGAGUAAAACACAGGAGAAUGAGGGUGUUGCUAAUAUGGAAGUACCUCCUUUGUCAAUGAACAAAAAGAGUGGAUCCCAUUUGGAAGUUAAGGACAGGAACUCUGAUGCCAAUUCAUCCCAAGUUAGAAUGAUGUCCAAUGGAUUGGUGAUUGAGGAGCUAAUAACUGGAAAACCAGAUGGCAAAAUAGCUUGUCAAGGAAAGAAGGCAAGUCUCUUUGUGUUCAGUUGACUUAAUAACUUAAACUAUUUGAGUAACUGUUAUUGGUUGAUGUUUUCAUUAAAGCCAAGGUGACGAACUGGAGUCAUUUGAACCACAUUGCAUUCUCUUUCUUAAUAUUACCUGCUAGUUAUCAUGUUCUUAAACAUUAUGCACUAGAAAAGGAUACAAGAAUUAUGCUAAUUGACAUAAUUUUGUUUGUUUAGGUCAGUGUCUAUUACACAGGCAAGUUAAAAGAUAGUGGACAAAUCUUUGACUCAAAUAUUGGCAGAGCUCCUCUUAAGUUCCGCCUAGGUACUAUCUUACCAUUCCAGCUCGGUUUUACCAAAAUAUUUUCCUUUUUUUCUUCUGUGCUCAAAAAAGGAUUUCGCUCCUUACAGGUGCAGGAAAAGUUAUAAAGGGAUGGGAUGUCGGUCUUGAUGGUAGCUACUUGAAAUUGAUACCUGUUUUUCCCAUUUAGUUGUUUUUUUCUCAUUCUUUUUACUAUAUAUAUAUUCUCUCACACACACAUAAUUCCAUUUAUGCUUGGUUUUCAGGUAUGCGAGUUGGAGAUAAGAGAAGACUCGUAAUCCCACCAUCAAUGGGGUAGGGGGCUGAAUCGUUUGAUAAAUAUAUCAGUUCUAUUUCAGUUCUGACAUUUAUGUGCUUGGAUUCUCAGUCCCUUGCAUAACAUGUUUUCUCAUGGUUUGCAGUUAUGGGAAUGAAGGAGCUGGUGAUAAUAUUCCACCAAAUUCAUGGCUAGUAUUCGAUGUUGAAUUGGCUGGUGCCCGGUGAUUGUCCUGCACCAUUUGCAUGCAUGCAGUUUUGUGGCAUCAUUGCAGGCAUGCAUAUUUUGCCCUUAUAGAGCCCAUAUUUUAAGAGAUUCAAUCACAAGUUGUUUACUAAAAAAUUUUGGAUCCUUUUUCACCAUAUAGCUUCUAGCUUCAUAUUCUUCAACUUGAGUUUCUUAGGGAAAAAUAGUAUGGAGAAACAUAAAAUAUAAAGAAAAAUAGGGGAAAAUAGUAUAGAGAAACAUAAAGAAAUGAUUUUUAGAUUGGAAAGUUUAGGGAAAUGACAAGAGAUUGAAUGGUUAUUAUAACUGUUGUUCCCUGCACAAGCAAAUGUUAGGUGUACAGGGUCAUUAAAACAAAGCAUGUAUAGGACCUCUGGAUUUCUGGCUUGCCAUUUGCAAUAUAGGAAUAGUAAAUAUUUUUUGGGGGGUGUAAAACAAGCGAAAAACAGCCUACAGAAAUGUGUCAUUACUCCAGAAUGCUCAUUUCUUCCCCCAAUUCCUAUGAGAUUGUAUUAUGAGAAAAUGUCUCUCUACCUAUCAAAACAGUUUCUUUCUUAAAUUCAGAAAUUGAUGCUAAUCUCUUGGUCAUAUCAUAGUUCCCAAAUCUUUAAUAGGAGUUGAAUCUCCAUCCUCAACCUUGACACUAGAUGCCUUUGCAGUAGAAACUAUGAUUCACGCAUGGAUAGCGUCUGUUAUAUCAUGGUUUCCAAAUACUAUGAUGUGAUCAGUUUAGUUUAGCUGCUGACUGAGUUUUUAAAUAUUUGCCCUCGUGUUCAUUAGCUUUGAUAGAAUUAGAUAAUGCUGAUUUGAUUUCAAAUUUGAUAUAAGGAUGGGAAAUUUCUAGUUAUACCACAACUUUUUAUUAUUAUUUUUACCAUCUUGUUGGUUGCUAGAUACUGAUUGAUGCCAAUAACUUUUGCAUAUUUAAUCCUCCAAAUAUGUUCAGCUCACAUUGACUUAAGCGAUGACAAAAUACUGUUGCUAACUUAAGAAUAUUUUUGAGCAGUUAUUUGCAAGAACCAUGGGUUGGAAUCAUGGUUCAUCCUUGGCUUUCAAUUUUUUUUCACUCAAUUCAAUUUAACGGUGACUUUUGUCGUCUCCAAAUUGGAUUGAUCAACACUCAGACCAAAAAACUAAAUGAGUGUUUGGCCACAAGUACAUUGUCCUCAGGAUCAAGUUGAAGAACUGACUUUUCUUUUGCAAGAGAAACAAAUCCCUACUAAAGAAAUUCAGUAGAGAAGACAUAUCUAGUGUUGAAUCUGAUUCAGAGUUCAAAUCAAACUUGACCUUUACUGAUAGUGGAUCUUAUUUGAUGACUGCGCCAACUCCAAUCGUCCAAUUCUCAUCUUGUAAAUCUAAUCACAACAAUCAACAAAACAAUAACAUUUCUCCGUAAACUUGUUUUAAAAAGUUUCAGUUCAAUUCAUCUACAGAUCUUAACCAUAAUUUCAUACAAAUCGUAUGAAAUAGGCCAAGCAUCAGUUGUAGCUAAGGGAAACCUUAUAGAAAAUAUAUCAAUUCACAGCACAAUGGAGAAAACGGGAACCUUUUCAUCUCCUCAAGAUCUUCACUUCCUUUUUGCUUCUCCUUUGAACAUAAGGUAGAUUAGCCUCUCAUAUUUGUGAGACAAUCAUCUCACACAACGUUCUGGCAUCCCAGAAAAUGUUUGAGAAAAGAACUAACACGUAGAAUGAAGAGAAAGAAUUGGUAGAAUGUCGAUAUUAUAUUGCUAUUGUACUACAGAUGAUCCAAAAGACUUAGUGGCAAGUUUUUAAAAGUCCACUCUUGCCACCUCAGCAUACAAGUUUGACGCUAAGCAGGCGGUUUCCCAUGAGCUGGAGAGAUGAAAUUAGGCUCAAAGAUCCAAAGUGGCAGGAAAGGGAGUCUCAAUGCUGCAUCAUCGCUAUUCCCGUCUCUGGGGUGUGGAAUAAGCCUCUCUCAAGGUGGUUUUCUUUAGAGCUGGAGCAAUAGCUCAGGAGCCCGGAGGGCACUUUUAAGGGCGGAAUAAGAACAUCAGGGCAGUGCUUUAUGGUUCUCAGAACUGCUCAGGGACAGGGACUCAUUUCUCCCGAGUCACCCAUCCAGUGAUCCUUUUGACUUCUUAAGACUUGGAUUCACUUUCUCAACUUCAUCAAACUAAUAUUUUUGGCAUCAUCGACCUCAGUUAUUUAAUGCAAAUAUCCUUAACAACUCAUUAGUCCCGUUAAGAGGACUUUAGCAUCCCUUAAAGCUAGCAAGAAUGAUCAACACUCAUUGAGCUUCAAUUACCUCGCUCCCUCUAACCUCAACAUUGCGAUUCCCUUAGCAAUAGGACAAGUUCAAGCCUCAAUCAACUCACUUAACAAACUUCACAGUGAAAUGAGGAUAUUUUCCUUAAACAUAAAGGUUCUUUCCCAACUCAACUCAACUCAACUCAACUCAUCAAUGGUCAUGCAAAGCCUACAUUUCGUCUCCUCCACGGUCCUUAAAAUUUUUUCUUGACAAUCCUUUCCAAAGAGGUCUCACUUUGUCAAAUCAACCAUCCCCCCCAACUUGACCCAAAAUAUGUCCCUUUUCAUAUUUUUAUUUUAUUGCUCUUUUAGAGGAAGCUCUCAUAGGAUUUUAUGAAGUUGAGGGAAUCCUCUUGACCAAAGUAAUGAAUGAAGCUCUCAUAUCAAUGACUCCAAACCAGUUUCUUUCAGGUACAAGCAUUGAGACCGAAGCCAUGUUCAGCUCAGGACACACAUUCAGGUCUCAAUGCGAGCAUUGCAGUCAACCUAAACCCUUAAUGCUUGAGACCUGAAUGUGUGUCCUGAGCUGAAUAUGGCUUCGGUCUUAAGGUGGCCUAUCACUUGUUACAUGACCCUUCCCAUGCUUGGAGUUGCAUUUAUUUACUCUUUAAGAUGUAGUCGAGGUAUAGGGUGGCAGAGUGUGUCCUAAAUGAAAUAGAGUUGCAAGUUAAUUCUCAAAUUUCCAUUGCCUCAACCUAGCUCCCAAGGCAUUCACCUCUGUAGGGUAAUAAACCAACUUGAAUAGAGUGUGAAUAAUAUCUGUUGCAGUUGGAGUAAGGGGUGAAGUAGUGGUAAUCUUCUUUCUUUAUGCUAUUCCCACUUGUUUGGCUAUAAGGAUUGAAGGGGCUGCUGCCUUAGAAUCAGCAGGCUACCCACCCUCUCUAAUCACCUUUCUCUGCUUUGGUAGAGGCUGUGAAUUUGAAAAUCAAAGGGUGACCAUAUCAACUUCCAACCACAUCACCACAUCCAUAGAUUAUUUUAUCCAGAAAAUAAAUAAACGAAAGGAAUCAAAACAAUGACGAAAAGAAGCGUACCAUGAUCAAAAUGCAAACGAAGAAGUGAAUCAGCCUCUCCCAAUGAGAAAUGCAAUGUGCACCAAAGGCUUAGAGGGAUUCUUCGGAGUGUGGAAGAGGGAAAAUAGAGAGGUAACUUCCAUUUUAGAGGACGCUUUAAUAUCACACUCUCUGGGCAGUUUGGAGUUUGAUCUGUCUUUAAUUUUGAAAAUUCUUUUAUCUCAUAACUUCAUGCUAAAUUUAAUUAAUUAUAAAAAAUUUAAAAUUAAUUAUCACCAUUGGAUUUAAUGUUGAUACAAUUAUUUGCUAAUUUCUUAGUAUUAUUUUAUCUACCAAAAUUAUAUUUAAUAUUUUCCUUUAGAACUUUGAGCCCAUUUAAUUUGUGGUCAUUUACUUUACAAGUAACCCUUAACUAGAAUAUAAAAUGAUAGGGGAAGGCCGGUUCGAUUGGUUAUUAAACAAAAAAUCAAUUGAACCAACAUGAUCGAUUUACAUUGAGUAAGAAACAAAACUGAUCAUAAUUUCAUUGAAAAACCAAACCAAACCAAACAAUUUAAGGUUGGUUUGGUUCAAUUUUUCUUAAUUGGUUUUAAGCCCAACAACGAAGGUUAUUUUGGGCCUUAAGCCCAAUUGAUUUUUAAAGUGGAUUUAUUUUUCAUUUUUGAGACUAAAUGUCUAUCAAUUUGGUUUCACAUUCACGGAAAUCUUCACAUGAGAUGCUAUAACCCAUUAUAAUAAGCUCAAAGCCCAAAGCCUAUUUUUAUUUAAAGCUCAAGGCCCAAUAAUAAAACUUUGUUUUAUAUUCAUUAUAACUUUGUUAGUAAGUAGUAACUAUCACAACUAAAGCCAAAUUAUUGAUUGUAAUUAUGUUGGGUUGACUAAAAGAUAAAAUAAAUAUAUAAUGAAACCAUCAAACCUAUGAUCAUAUGUUUUGGUUUUAUAAAAUAUUGUCUUCUCUUAGCUCAUAUUUUCAAUUUCAUUUUCUCAAUUCAAUAUCCAUAAUACAUACAAACAAUAAGCCAACAUUAAAGAAAAAUAACAAACCAACACUAUCCAUGAUCCAUUCAACAUAUAUAAUUAUAAAAAAAAAAACACGGAUUCCAAUCUCCAUCUCCUAGCAACAAAAGGUGUACAAACUUCAUAGCAAAUUCUUCUCCAGUAUCAUCCCAUAACAAGUACUCCAAGGAGAAAGGUCCAAAAUGUCCAUACUUCAUCACUAUAAAGUAGUUCAAAUAGCAAUGAUUAACAAUCAAUUAUAGUAAAAUUAACAACCAUUAACAAAUGUAAUAAAAAUAAUAAGAAUGAAUUAAAUUUAAAAUAAUAAUAAACUAGAGUAAUAAUAACAAUCAUGAACAAAUGUAAUAAAAAUAAUAACAAUGAAUUAAAUUUAAUAUAACAAUAAAUUAGAGUAAAGUUAACAACCAUGAACAAGUGUACAAAAAUAACUUACCUCACAUUAUCAUCAAUAACCAUAGGCCCCUCCAAUGCAUGUGACAAGUCUAAGCAAGAAAAAUAGUAUACAUAAAUAAAAGCACGUAAACUAUAUGAAAAUUAAGAAAAUUUCAUAAAAAAAAAACAAAUAUGGAUCUUAAAUUUAAAAUACCUUGCUCAAGAUUUUCAAUUUCUCCCAUUGUUUCACAAAGGUUAAUGAGUAUUAGUGAAGAUCGAAGCCAAUUUUGUCCAUAAAUAAGCAUCUAAACCAUUUUUGGAGACAAUGAACUACAUAAUAAAUCCAGUAUUCGACCACCGAUACUAAAUGCAGACAUAGAAACAACAAUGGAGAUGAGAAUUGUCAAAACGUCCCUAGCAAUUAAGGCAAGGAUCUUAAAUAUAGAACAAUUGACUUUUCACCAAUCGAAAAUAUCAAAACCAUCACCAACUCUCUCAUUACUUUCUGAUAAGUACCGAUCCCACUUCGCCUUACUUUCUAUAUUGUAUUCCUCAUAUAAGUGUCUUGUAAAAGUAGAGACAAAGUUAAGAUCAUCUUGCUCGCCUAACUCGCUUUCCUUAGGUUGUGAGAAUUCUCCUUAGCCGCACACUUUAUUAUUAAAGUAAAGAAACCUAUACCAUUAUAUAGUUUCCUUAAAACAUCAACCACCCUAGUUGACAAAUUUUGGCAACCUUUCUAUCCUGUAAUUGAUCAAAACAAAAUUGCACAAACUUUAACUUUUACCGUGGGUCAAGAACAAUUGCAACAUACAACAACAAAUUACUUUUUUCAAGGUUCCCUCAAUAUUUAUUAUACUUAACCUUCAUAUUAUGCAUUAUGCAACUCAAAAGUGGAUCAUUGCUUUUUAAGUAUUUCCGAGGGGAUCUUUAUUCUUAUCAUCAUCAAAAAACUUCAAUACAUAUUGUGGAUCUUGUUCUUCUAGUCGUUUAAAUGCCUUUUUAAAACUUUGGAUUGUUUCCAACAUCAAAUAGGUUGAAUUCCAUCUAGUAGAGAUAUCCAAACAUACAAGACUCUUGUUUGAAAUUUUUUCUUCUUCCACAUAAGCUUUAAACCUCAAGAAUCACGUAGGAGAAGACUUUACAUACCUCACUAUUGGGAUUGAGCCCCUAAAGGCAAGACAUGAUGUAACAAAGUUAGACUUAACUAUUCUUUUGCUAUCUCUUUGGUGUAUUGACAUUGAUUUGAGCAUUCGACCCAUGUCUUUUACAUUGUACAUGACUUGAGUGCAUUAGAAGUUGCAUAGAAGAUAUAAGUCAUGGGUUCGUUGUAAGUAGAUAAGUUGUCCACAAUCAGUUCAUGAAUUUAGGUAAUUUGGUAAAGACUGUAGUGUACCAUCUCCUAAUUGGGGGGAUGACUUGUCAUGGCCGUCGGGAUGAGUUUCUCAUGGUGAGUAGACUAGUGUAUAUGAGGCACACUAGACAAGACCUAUGAUGAAUCAUCACGCAAGGCUAUCAAUUGUCAUGAUUCACCAAGCUACUAUACUGCAUGGACUCUCAACCUUAAGAAGAUAUUAAGCUUAUGCCAAAAUCAAUAGGAGGCUUUGACCUAUGGAUAAGACCCUAAAUUGGUCAUAUAUCCCUAUGAAUUGGGUCACUAUUAAUGGAGGUUGGUGGUAACAGGUAUUCUCAAUAGAGACACCAUGAUAUCUCAUGGGAUUGAGACGACGUGUCCCCUUGGGUGAUCCAAAGGACAUGUGAUCAUGAAAUCUGUGGCCAUAGUAAUUCCUUUAGUGGAAUUUGACAUAUGCUCUUUGGAGCUAGAAUAUGUCAAUUGAUCAUAUAAUAAGUAGGAUUUGUAACUCAAGGAUUUGAGAGGUAAUCUUGAUAGGUGAUAAUAUUACUUUGUUAGAUUACGAACACCAGUUCAUGGAAAGUCUACAUGUAGUGGAUGGCAGGUUACAGACUUGAGCACUUGGUGUCUCAUUAUAAUAUAAAUAAGGUACUGGAGUGCAAUUGACUCUCUGUAGUAGGAUGUUGAGUCAAUUUCAGAAUUUGAUUAUGAGGGAGUCAGUACUCCUAUGGGUUCCAAUAGUCCCCGCUCUGAGCUCAUAUUCCUUGUUGGCAUGACAUAUGAGGGUUGAAUGAGUUUUUAGUUCACUUUUGUGUAUAAGGGCAUUUUGGUAAUUACGUAAGAUUGUAUAGGGAUAAGUGAGUGGUAUAUUUAGAUUGGGCUAAUUGAUUAAUUAGACAUUGUAUGGUUAAUUAAUCAAUUAGCAAGUUAGUGGGAGGUAAUAUCCUCUUCCUUUAUAUGUAUUCCAUUAUUACUUUGCCAAGUGAUAAGAACAAUCAGAUCUCAAGAUCAAACCUAGCACAAAUUAAACAUUGGGUUUCUAGACCUAGGUCAUAUUAGUCUAAAUAGGAUCCAAAGACUGGUAAAGUUUGGACUCUUUGAUUCUAGAAGAUCUUUCAAUCCAUGACUUCUGUAUAGAUGGUAAAAUUACCAAGAAGACUAGAGCCAAGGAAUGUUUGGAGUUAGUACAUACUGACAUGUAUGAAACUUUUAGUGUCCAUGCAUGGGUAGGAUAUGGGUAUUUCAUCACUUUUAUUGAUGAUUACUCUAGAUUUGAAUAUGUACAUAGGAAAUCCGAUGCCUUGGAUACAUUCAUUGAAUUUAAGACGAGAUAAGAUAACCUAUUGGGUAAACAUACCAAGUCACUUUGAUUAGAUCAAGGUGAUAUGUCUAGUAAAUUUGAUUCUUUCCAUUGGAGCACAAGAUUAUUUCCUAGUUAUGUGCAUCAGUGUUUCCAUUACAAAAUGGAUAGGUAGAAAGAAGAUAUCAAACUUGGUUGGACAUAGUGAGAUCGUGGAUAGGUUUUUCACAUUUUCUCGGAUUCUCUUAGGGAUAUGUCUUAUAGACAGUGUAAUACCUUUUUUCUUGAGAGAUAUAUAUCCGUUUAUAGGAUAUCUAAGAGGAUUUUUGGGUUAUUACCUUUAUAGUCAAGAUCAUUAGAAGAUAUUUGUUGAUACAAAUGUCAGAUUUUUUAUGAGGCUAUAUGAUGAGGAAUAAGGCAAAGAGUGAUAUAGAUUGGAGGAUAUAUUAGAAGAUAGUCCUACAUUGUAUAGGAUACUAUGGAUCCAGAGGGUUAAAGACAUAUCAUUCCUAUGAUUUCAAGUACAUUAGUGCCUCAUCAUAGUGGGAGGUUCAUAUCCCACAGAUUGUGAUGAAGCAAUAAGUAGCAUUUGUGCUCACUUAAGGCAAGGGGAGCUAUGAAGAGGUAGUUAGAAUCUUUGUAUUCUAACAUAUUUUAGGUUCUUGUAGAAGCACCUAAAAAGGAUAAAACCCAUAGGUGUAAGUUGGUCUACAAGAUGAACAUAGGAGUAGAUGGAAAGCUUGAGUUUUAUGUCACUAAGAUUAGCUAAAGAUUAUAGUUUGAAACUUUGUUUCAACUAAAGAAAACCUUUUCAAUAGUGGUCAUACUCAAAUCCAUCUGAUUACUCCUAUCUAUUGUAGUGUGUCCCAUUUAUGAGAUAUAACAACUAAAAAUUUCAUAGCAAAGGGUCUUGUGUGUACGAGAAGCCAUAGGAAAAUGUGGUGAUGCUCUAAGAUCUUGCAAGUAGAUGACAAUCUACUCAUUAGAUAUGAUGUAAGGAUAUUGCCAUCAGUCAAGAUCUGGUAGUCUACUCAGUUCUAGAUGAAAAUCUAGGGAAGACACAAUAUAUUCUUGGGGUUAAUAUCCUUUAGGACUGCAAGAAUAGGAAAAUGGGGUCAUGUCACGUACAAAAAUGAGCAUUUGGUCAAGUACAUGAUGCAAAACUCCAAGAAAGGGCAUGUUACUCUUUGGAUUUGGAGUCGUCUUUCUUAGGAUCAAUGUCCUUGGAAAUUUGUGGAGAGAGAUCGCAUUAAGGUGGUAUCUAAUGCCUCUACAAUGGCUAACCUUAAGUAUGUGAUGCUAUGUGCUAGACCAGAUAUUUGCUUUGUUGUAGAAAUAAUGAGUGGAUGUUAGUCCAUUCCUAAUUAGAGCUUUGGGUGGAUGUCAAACAUAUACUUCAGUAUCUUUAGAGAAUGAGUGAUAAUAUAUUUGUGAGUCUUUGCGAUGAGUUGGUAAUCCUUUCGUUUCGGGAAAUUAGACUUCAGUUUGAUAAGGACUCUCAUAAGUCUACAUUUGGGUAUGUGUACAUUCUAAGUUUUUUUUUUUCUAUAGCAACAAAGGAAACCUUUUAACUUAUGGGUAGUUCCCUUGGCUAUAUUGUCUAAGAUCUUGUUAUGUGAUAAUAGUGGGACGGUGGCAUAAUCUAAAGAACCGAAGUACCAUCGGAAGAGGAAACACAUAAAGAGGAAGUGUUACCUUAUUGUGAGAUAGUAUAAGAAGGUGAUAUGACUAUGGAGCAGAAUAUUUUUCCAGUACCUAGUUUGCUUUUGGGGCUAAUGGGAGUUUGUCAGGAUUGAACCCCUAAAAGCAAGAUAUGAUGUAAUAAAGUUAGACUUAUUUAUCCCUUUGUUAUCCCUUUGGUGUAUUGACAUUGAUUUGAGCAUUCAACACAUGUCACUUACACUAUACAUGACCUGGGUGCAUUAGAAGUUGCACAAAAGAUACAAGUCAUAGGCUCCUUCUAAGUAGAUAAGUUGUUCACAAUCGAUUCAUGGAUUUAGGCAAUUUUGUAGAGACUGUAGUGCACUACCUCCUAAUUGGAGGUAUGACUUGUCUUGGUCAUUGAGAUGGGUUUCCCAUGGUGAGUACACUAGUGUAUGUGAUGCACACUAAACAAGACCUAUGGUGAAUCAUGAUGCAACACUAUUAAUUGUCAUGGUUCACCAAGGUACCAUACUACAUGGAUUCUCAACCUGAGAGGAUAUUGAGCUUGUGCCAAAAUCAAUAGGAGGCUUUAACCUAUGGGUGAGACCCCAAAUUGGUCAUAUAUCCCUAUGGAUUGGGUCAUAAUUGAUGGAGGAUGGUGUCAAUAGGUUUUCUCAAUAGAGGCACCAUGAUAUCUCAUGGGAUUGAGACAACGUGUCCCAUUGGGUGAUCCAAAGGACAUGUAAUCAUAAAAUCUGUGGCCAUAGUAGUUCCUUUAGUGGAAUUUAACAUAUGCUCUUUGGAGCUAAAGUAUGUCAAGGAUUUGAGAGGUAAUCUUGAUAGGUGAUAACACUACAUUGUUAAAUUAUGAACACUAGUUCAUGAGGAGUCUGUAUGCAAUGAAAGAGUCAUCGAACGGAAGAUCAUGGUGUUUAUGAGAUCCGUUAUGACUUUGGAGUUAUCUACAUAGAUUGGAAUUGAUUCAGGAACAUCCGGAUCAAAGAUUUAUGUCUUUAUUAUCUAUAUUUAUGUUUUCUAUGGUAUCCAUAUUAUUUUUUAAUACAUAUUUAUCCGUUGUGAUGGAUUUAGAGAGUCUAUGAUAGAUUUGCAUGCACCCUACACGAUCUAGGGCAUGGAAACAAAGUAAUCUAGGGUUUCUAGUACUCACUACAUUAAAGUCAUGAAUAUCUCUUGAAGCAUCGGUUACAAUAAGGUUCAAUAUGUGUUAGGGAUUAAAAUAUUGUGUAUUGAAGGGUAUUGAUAUGAUAAUACCCAACAAAAUAUUGAAAGCCCAACAACCCAACCUCCUACACUCUAGGAGAGUGUGCAGCCUAGCCCACUCCAUUUUCCUCCUGUUGCAGUGGGGUUUGCUUUAAAUAUUAGUUUUAGAUUUGUUUUGUGGCUGAUGUGGGAUUGCAUUUCAAGAUGCAAGGAAAAACAAUUAGGUGGUGGUGUAUAGGCGGGAUUGAACCCAUGAGCUUAGGUUCAAAAGUAGCCUGCUAUGCCACCAAGCCGCAUUGCUGUUUACAGUAUAUUAGGUAUGCAUUAUAUAUAUAUAAGAUUAAUAAAAUAAAUCUCAUUUAUGAAUUUAUUUUAUAAAUAUUAUCUGUAUAUAUAAAUAAAUUAUAUAUACAUAAAUUAAUAUAUAUUUUUAAUUAAAAUAAGUAAAUUAUUUUUAAUUGUUAUGUAUUUUGUAUCAUAAUUAAAUAUAAAAUAAAUAAAGUUAUCAACAUUUUAACAUUAAAAAUACUUAUACAUAUAUCAUCAUUUAUUUUAUAUCAUUUAAUACAAUUGGAUUAAAUGGAUUAUAAUUUCAAUAUUAAAUAUAUUUUAAAAAUUAAAUAUAUUAUAAUCAAAUAUCAAAAUAUUAUUGUUGAAUGAUAUUUAAUAAUAAUUUAUACUUAUAAAAUUCAUAUUUUUUUAUUGACCAUACAAUAUUAUUAUCAAAUAUAAUAAAUUAUAUCAUAUACAUAUUUCAUUUUUGUUUAUAAAACAACUAUAAAAGGUCUAUUAUUGUUUAUUGUAUCAUUUUUAGAGUUUUUCUCAACAUUUUCAUGAGUUUUGAUCCAUUUUGGACCCAUCGAUAUUUUAUGUCAAAAUAUUCGCUGAUAUAUUUGUAAAAUCGAAGUACCCAUAUAUUCGUAAUUACUGAUAUUUUCAUUCUUGAUAUGCGUGCACAACAUCGAACAUGCAUGAACUCACCAUUCAAAACCGACUCAUUCCAAUUACCAAACUUUUUUACUAAAUAGGAAAUAACAAAAUUAUUAGAACUUAUAUUAUCAAUUGUUUACAAUAAAACACCUUUUCAAUCUCUCACUCAAGAAAAAAAUUCUCAAUUAUUUUUCGUAUUUUGUCUCCUCUAUGAUUAGGAAUUUGACAAAAAUCCAAAAUCCUUUUAUGCAACUUCCAUUCAUCAACAAUAAAAUGUGCAGUGGAGAUCAUAUAAUUAAAGUUUUGCAAUGAUUCCCACAUAUUGGUGGUCAAGCAAAUCUUUCGAGACAUUUUUGGUAGAACACUUUUCAAUUUUUUUCUCACUUGAAUAUAAUUGAGAGCAAUCUUUAGCCAUUGUAACACAAAAUGAAAUAAAAAAAAUUUAGGUUGAAGUGCAUCACAAAAUGCGUGAAACCCUUCUCUUUCAACAAACCUAAAGGCUAAUUCAUCCACAAUUAUCAUCCUAGCAAGCAUUUUUCUACAAUGUUCUACAUUAAAACUAAUGACAAGUAAUGUACAAUCACUACCCCCAUCCACCUCUCCUAUAUUCUUUCUUUGAAAUGAUUAUGUCUUUUGUUUUGGAUCUUCAUACCUAAAUGGGUAUUUCUUACAUCCACUAGCCAAAUGGGCCUUCAUAUUGCUAGUUCUAUUUCUUUUAUUAUGACAUUCAUAAUCAAUUUCACAAUAAUUACAUGUCGCCCUCAAAUAAUCAAGAUCACAUCGUUUUACUUUAGUGAAAUGAUCCCAAAUCUUUGAAGGUGGCUUAAUAAAAUUUUUCUCACUUAUAUCAUUUGGUAGUACUAAUGGGGAGCUGAGAGCAUCUAUUGGUGUUGUUGGUGUGCUAUUUGUAGGAGCAGACAUGUUAUUAGACAAGUUUUCUUUAAUUGUAGACAUCUGUUAAAAAAAAAUCAAUAAAAUAAUAAUUAAAUUAACUAAUGUGUAACAAAUAGAGAAAACUAAAAACAUAGUUUUAAAAAAGAAUAUAAAUAAAAGAAGAUAUUUCUUUUAGUAUUUCUUUUACUAUUAUUUACAAAUUUUUGUUAGUUGAUGCAAUAUUUGUAACAUAUUAAAAGUAAUUUUAUUAAUUAUUCAUUUAAGUAGUGACAUUGUUGAAAGUUGUUAAUGUUCUUUUAAGGUAAGAGACUAAGAAUAAUAAAAGCAAUACAUGUGCAUAGUUUUCAUAUGAAAAUAACUAUUAAAAGGAUCUUGAAAUUCAUGAACAUUUUGAAAGAUGCACGAAUAAUUUGGAAUUCAUUGAUUUAUUGGUAAUAUUUGGUGAAUAUUUUUGGAUAUAUUCAAAAUCUAAUAUGUAGAUUUAAUUUUAUACCAUAAUGAAAAAAUUGGAGGCUACACAUUGUCCAUAAAAUGUUUAAAGAAAUUAAUUAAUUAGUGUAUAAAAAUUCCAUCAUUCCAUGACAUUCUAAGAAGUAGAAGCAAUUAAUCAGUGUCGAUGAAUCUUCUUUGUUAAUUGUUUUUCUUUUUUCUCCGCCUUUUGAUAAAAAAAAUGUCCUUAAAAAGUACAUACUCAAGUGCUAGCUUUAAAGCAUUGUCCAUGGAAAAAAAAUGGCUUUGAAACAUUCUUCUAUAAGGGAAACGUCCCACGGUCAGUGCUUUAUUGCCCUUACUAUUUAUUUAAUUAAACAAAAAUAAAAGCACAUGAAGGAGUUACUAACUUGUUCAUAUUCUUUUUCCAAAGAUCUCUUUGGUUAGGGUGGUGGGGAAUGAAAACCAAAUAUCUUUCAUGGUGAGCAAGUUAUGGCAUAUGAAAGAAGAAACCAACGAAAUUUGCUAAGCCUCCAAUGAAACCUUCCUUGUUGGAGAAAAACCCCUUGGUUUCCAACUAUGACUUCAAUAGACUUCCAAAGUAUUUCAUUCUCUACCUCAAUUUUCAAUCUUUAUCAUAGUAACAUAAUUGGGGAGCGAAUGAAGACCAAUUCAGAAUGUUACAAAAAAAAAAAAAUGUCCUUCACAUGCUUCUUCAUGAUAAAUCCAUAACACUUCCUUCUUCUCAUCUUCAAGUAUACAUCUCCUUACAAAUUGAUCUAAUUAAUAUUUUAAUAGAUAAGGAUCAUCCCAAAUAAAGUGUUUAGCUCUUGAUAGGAAGUACUUUUAUCUAUAGUAUUGUAUUCAAUUGACAUUUUCUCGUGUUAUAAUGCAAUUUAUAAUAUUUACAUACCAUGACCAUCUCUCCAUUGAAAAUAAUGACUCAUCAAGGAAUGCAUCACUUAUUGGAGUUUCAUCUUCUUUAUUUUCAACAACAACCUUGAAAAACAAUCAAUCACCAAUUUUUAUACUCCUUUCUUAUCUUAAUCUAUAGAUUAAAUUCUUCCAAGUAGUAUAAUCCACCAAUUAACCUUGCUUUAUUUCAAGAGAUAUUUGAGGGUUAAGUGGACAUGCUUUGAACUCUAAUCUAAAGCAAAGACAAUGACAAAUAGCUCCUUUUCUAUGUGGGUAUAACUUUUGUAAGCCUCGUUUAGUAUCCUAUUGGUAGUGAAUCACACGAAGUUUUGCCUAUUUUAUUUGUCUAAACAAAACUCCCACAAUAAAAUCUCUUUCAUAACACAUAAACUCAAACAUUAAAUUUCAAUUAGGUGAUCUUGAAAGUUAAAGAGAGUGAAAGAACUUGAUUUUAAGAGUAGUUAAAAAAAAACUUUAAAUUAUUAAAUAUGCCCCCUAGAAUAUUCCUUUAAUAUAAAAUUUUGAUGAAUUUUUUUAGAAACAUAUGACCUUAUUUCGUUGGAAGGUUGUAAUAUGUAAACAUGCUGACAUGAUACAAUGAAAGUAAAUGAGGUAUUAGAUCACAAUUAAAAUACGUGUGGAUUCUAAUUAGUUGAUUGUUUAAACUUUUAUAAAUGAUAUAAAAUAAAAAUAUAAAAAUAAAUAUUUGAUUAACCAUGUAUUUUUAGCUACUGGUAGCAUCAAGCUUCAUUUUAUUCUUUCUUUUUAAUUCAACAAUUUUUUCUAAUCUCUUUUUAAAAUUCCUUUUACUACUUUUAGCAAACUUAUAAUAUCUUUUAAGAUUUACUUAUUUCAACAGAGGUUACUUUCAAAUUUAUUUUAAUUUUUUUAUUUACAUAUAGUCGUUUUGAAUUAAUUCUAUUUUAUCUAUUAAAAAACCAUUGUGGAGGCUUAUAUAUAUUGGAUAGUUUUCAUAAAAAAGAAAUUAUUGAGAAUAUUUGAUAAUAUUAAAUAUUUAUUUGAAAAAUAUUGAUUAGAAAGUUAUGUUAUAUAUGGGGAAAAAGAGAGAAUGUGAAAAAAAAAAAAUGAUCUUCAAGCACAAUUAAUUAACUUUUGAACAUUUUCAUUAAUAUUCAAUGUUGAUAUUUUCCUUUUAAAAUACAUCAUGUACAAUAUAAGUAAAAUGUUGUUCUAUAUCGUCAUACUCUAAUGAUAAAAUAAGUUAUUAUUGAAUACUUUCUUAAAAGGUUCACAAGUCCACCACCUAACCGAAGAACCUUAUUAUUGACAUUAAGUGAAAAGUUGACACUUUCAUAAUAUAUAUGAAAAUUCUAUGGUAUUGAAGGUGCUCCCCUUUUUUUGUUGUCGAUUUUAUUGGAUGUUUUCCAAUUUAUAUGCAUAUAUUACCUAACAUGAUUAAUUCUAAAGGAAAAUAAGCAAUGUGAUAAAUUAAACAAAAAUUCAAAUUAAAAUAACAUGAUUUUAGUUUUAUAAAAUGUUUUUCCCCAAAUAUUUUUAAAAUAACACGAUUUAAUAUUAUUUGUCAAAAUAUUCCUUACACAAAUUUUAGUUUUAUAUACAAUAAAUAAACUUUCUUACCUUCAUGAUCAAAUCUUCGACUUUGUAAUGUCUUUAUCACCAAAAAUUCCUCUUACUUUUUUGUCAGUCUAUUCUCAAACCUUCCCCAUUCACCUUCUCCAUUCAACUUUGUAAUGUUUUAAAUUUUCCAUACAAUUUAUAAUUUUAUUUUGACUCUUAGGUGAUUUAAUUUAAUUUUAAAUUUUUACUAUGUAUAGAAAAUAUAUUCUUAAAUGCUAGAAUUGAUUGUUGUAAAUAUAUUUUUUGGUAUGGUUAGGUAGGUAACAUUAAAUGUCAAAAUUUUAAAAAAUACUAGAGAAUACAAAGAAUUUGAGGAAGGUAUGAAGAAUGUGAGGGUGGUAUCCUUCUCAUAUGUUUCAUACUCCAAAUUAAAAAAAAAAAAUUAAUUUGAAGAUUUAAUUUUUCAUUUGAAAUGACAAUAAAAUAGUCUAGUAAUACUAUUUUUACUUAGAAUGGACAAGAUUUAUGGAAAAAAAAAAUGAAAAAAAAAAAAUUGGAAGAAACUACAAAAAUAAAAAAUAAAAAUGAGGAGUGUUUCGUACCCUUCUUACAUUAUUUGUUCCCUCUCCAAUUUUUUAAGAAUACAAAAUUUAAAUUCUUUUUUAAUUAAUGAUGUCAUUUGGCUUUAAAUAGCAUCAAAGAUAUGAUGUUUUGAGUAAAAAAAAUUUUUUUUUAAAAAAUAAAAAUAAAACACAUAUUGCAUUAACCUAUUAAAUUAUUCUUGAAGAACCAUCCGAUUCAAAUGGUUCACUAGUCUAAUUGUUGAUUUAAUAUUAGUUCAACUUAAAGAUAGUUCAAAAGAGUGAACCAUAUUGAAAAAGUCAUCGAUUGAUGGUUGGACCGAUUAAACCAACCAGUCCAAUCCAAUUUUUAAAACUUAGAUAGAUAACUUAAUAAGCCUAUAGAAGCACAUGCAAAUGUAGUUGAAGAUGAAUAGAGGGUUCCAAACCCCCUCAUCAAUGAUCUCAUUGCUUUUAAUAAAAUAUUUCUUGAUGGUAUCAUGGUAAAAUUGCUCCUUAUUUAAGGAAAAUUGAUUGUUUGGGCAAUGGACAUGAGUAAAUAAGUAUAACAAAAUUAUGACUCGCAAUAGGAAAAUUAAAUAUACUGAGACCACUACAAAACAUUUAUACUAAUAAAAGUGCAAUGUGGUUGUCAUUUUCCCUCCUAAAAAAUGCCCUUAUCAAUACCCAUGAUCAAGCCCAAAAAUACCUAAAAUCAAUUAAAACCUAAUAACCAAGCCCAUUAUACAUAAGUCCAUCAAACUCAACCCAUUAUAUAUAAGUUUAUCCCAACCCAACCAAUUAUUAAUUAGUAUUAAUUUUUAUAUUGGUUCUUCAACCCAUGGCUCUUACGACCAAUAAUGAAUUCUUACACAUAAACUCCAUACCUUCAUAAAAAUAACACAAAAAUAGUUUCUUGAAAAGGAAUAUAGCAUCACAAGUGGGGUUAGAUUCGAUUCCUUGACGUGAUUGCAUAUAAAUCCAAUACAAAAUUUCUAGAAAAUCAAAAUUUUAAGGGGGAAAAGAGAGUAAUGGGUGGCAAUUGGGGAAAAAGAAUAAGAAAAAGACAAAGUUUGUAAUGAAUAUGCAAAAAAGAAAGCAAAGGGCUCAGUAUGGAAAGUGAGGAAAAGACAAAAAGAGGGAAACAUUUUUUAUUAUACUCCCAACUAUUUCUAAUAAUAUGAAAUUUUAAAAAUCUUAAAUAUUAAGGAAUAAAUGAUCCAUUUAUCAUACAAUUUUGUAUGUUUUUAUUUGUUUCCUCCAUCUUGUGGCUCUCGUUAGAGUUUUUUUUUUUUUUUUUUUUCUUUUCUGUAUUUUUUUUUCUAUUUGUUUGCAAAGUAUUGUUUUCAUAAAUCUCAUUGAAUUAUUUUAUUUCCUCACUAUUGUAUUUUGUUUAUCAAUUGUUCAUGAAUAAAUUUAAUUUUUUUCCGUGGUUAAGAUAUAAUUAAAAGUCAAUAGUGACCCUUUAAUUCACAUAUAAUUCUUGUAACAAAAUAAAAGGGAAAAACUCAAGAUAAAUUGAUCCAUAUAUGUGUUAGAUCUUUAUUAGGAGUGAUUAGGAGAUACUUCCUAAUAAAAAUUUAAUUCACAUAAAUAUAUCAAUCUAUAAGUUCUUAUUUUUAAAAUAACUUCUUAUAAAAUCAUUACCAACAUAUUGAUAAAGCUUAUCCUUCACCACUACCAAUUUCAACAAACUCACCAACAAGUUUGACAACUCCAAGGUUCCCAUCACUUUUAGCUUCAACAAUAGAGUUUCCUCAAUAAUAUCAACAUCUUCUAGAUUCUCUCAAAGGCUAUUACAAUAGUUGAUUGCAUUUUUAGAUGUUUUUGCCAUUUCUUUAUCCUUAUAAAUAGGACUUGUAUAACCUAUAAAUGUUGUAACUUGUAAACAAAUAUUUUAAAGUAGAAAUAAUCAAUAUUCAAGUCCUAUUAUGGUAUCAAAGCCUUCUCUCUCACGAGCUUGAUCAUUUUUUUCCUUAUCCUAAAAUGACAUCUAAAACUUCUAUCAUUCAUCCAUCUUCUGUCACUACCAUAUCUUCCAAUCCUUCUCAAAACCUUAUCACUAUCAAUGUAACUACCCAAUUCCCUUUGAAACUAAAAAAAUAUAAUUAUUUGUCAUGGAAAGUAUAGUUUAACGCCUUGUUCUUCAGCCUUUAUGGGUUUUGGUGGGGAAGGGUUUAUAAGGGCCAUAGUACCUAAGGUAUUGUUGUGGGAGAGAGUGGGGAGUGGUUUUGGUAGAGCACGUGGAUGGAGGGAGGGAGGGGGGUUAAGGUGGGUUUUGGUGGUUGUGUAGAGACUAGAGCAUGAGAAUGGAGUUGUGAGGUUUGGUGAAUGUGGGAGAGAGAUGAUGAGGAAACUUGUGGUAGUAAGGGGAGAAACACUUGUAAAGGCUGGGAUGGCAAGUCUGAUGGCCUACAAAUUGGACUAGAAGGCUUGAAAAAAUCAAUGGAGAAUGGGAAAUCAUUUUUAUUAAAAAUAACAUGCCGUGAAAUGAGAAUUUUCUUAGAAUUGUUGAGACAAAAAUAACCUUUUAUGAUUUAGGUUGUAACCAAGAAAGAUGCACUUUAAUGAGUGAAAUUGGAAUUUUUGUUUGCAAAAAGGAUGAGUGAAUGGGUAGCAUGCAUAACCAAAGGUGCGAAGAAACGAGUAGUCAAGUUGAUGGUGGAAUAAUUUUUCCAAAGGAAAUUGGUUUUGAAGAAUCGGGGUUAGAAGGCGAUUAAUGAUGUAAACAGAGAAGGCAAAGGCAAAGUCCCAACAUUAGAGAGGUAAAGAUGCAUGAGCAAGACAAGUUAGACCCAUUUCGACAAUAUGAUGGUGUUUAUGUUCUACUUUGUCAUUUUAUUGAUGGGUGUGUGGACAAGAAAACUGGUGGUGUGUGUAAUGGGAUUUAGGAAAUUGUCAAAAAGUUGUAGAUGAAAAUUCUCCACCCUCAUCAAUUUGAAGAGAUUUUAUUUUUGUUCCAAUUGAUUUUCAACAAGAAGUUUAAAUUUAAUGAAAGAUGAUAAGUAUAAUGACCGGGUAUUUUAGGCCACGUUAGAAUUCUAGUUUGAAAAGUCUUCUAUUGAAUGGUGGUUGAAAAGUAAAAAAAAAAAAAAAAAUGAAUGGAGAACACGUGUUAAUUUUGAAUUGGUAGAAUUCGAAAUAUUUUGUUGGCCAAUUAAGUGAGUUGAAUUUUUUGUGCCACGUCAGCUUUAUGGUAGAAAAUUUCUUAGGAUCGUAAAAAUUGAAAAUUUAUGAAAACGAAAAAUGAAAAACAAAAUAAUUAAAAUUAACUAGAACUAAUUAAGUAAAAAUUAAAUUAAAUUUCUUAAUGAUAAAUUUGAGAAAAUUAAAUUAUUUGGGAUAGUGUUUAAUAAUUUAUUUUGUGUGUUGUUUAAAAAAAAUGAAAAUGAAAUGAAAAAUGAAUUAAGAAAAGAAAGUGAAAUGAAUUGAAAAAGAAAAACAAAAGAAAUCAAAAUUCAUAAGGUUUUUGAAUUGUGUCAGGCCAUGGGCCAUUUGGUGGUUGGGAGGUUUAAAAGCAAAAAGAAUAAGAAAUGAAAAAGAAAAGGAAAAAGGGAAAGAAAAAAAGGAAGUGGAGUGGCAGAGGCUCUCGGGGUAGGGAAGAGCAACAAUGUCGUCCACCUUUGGUUGGCUGUUUCAACGGUCAAAUGAGCUUAUUUUCAUGCGCAAUUUUGAGAGAAAGUUCUAGUCGACACGAGGAACAUUUCUACAAUGGCUUAUUUCGUUUUCAACGAUUAGAUCUAUGAUAGGGAAACUUAACCCUCAAACUUUUAUUUAAUGCACUUUUCUUUAAAAAAAAAUUAUAACUCUUGUUGUUGGAAAGUAAAAAAGUAAUAUUUAUGAUGUGAGAAAUUUUAUUGGGUGAUUUAGGAAUUUUCCUUGGGAUUUUUGUGUGAAAAUAGAAGUGUUUAAUUAUGGAAAAUAAUUGUGUUUGAUUGUUGGAAUUAUUGGGAUUGUUGGAAUUAUUGGGAUUGUUGAGAAAUAAUGGAAUGUUGGUGGGAAUUAUGCUUAAGUGAUGUUUGAAUUAUUGGAAAUUUAUUUGGUUGUUUUUGAUAAUUUUAUUGUAGAUAAAAUACUUAUAUUUGAUUAUUGGAAUUAUUGGGGUUGUGGAAAAAUUAUAGAAUUUUGGUAUAUAUUAUGUUCAAUUGAGAUUUGAAUUAUUGAAAAUUUAUUUGGUUGUUUUGGUAAUUUUGUAGUGGAGAAAAUAAUUAUAUUUGAUUAUUGGAAUUGUUGGGAUUGUUGGAAAAUUACGGAAUUUUGGUAUGAUUGUAAUUUCAAUGAUAUUUGGACUAGUUGGAGUUUAAUUUGAUGUUAUGAUAUUUGUGAAUGAGGAUAAUUAACUUCAUUGCAUUUCAUUUGCAUCAUGGUUGUGUGAAGGAAAAAUAAAAACUGUGAAAAGUGCAUGAAAUGGAAAAAGAAAGAAAAAAAUAAAAUAGUAAUGAAAAGUAAAGGCCCGUGUGAGGCAAAUUAAGAAGGGAUAUCCCUAGGGUGAAAGACCCAAAAAUCUACCUACAAAGACUUCGAAUGGGGAGUGUAUUUGGGUAUGGACACAUAUUCUUCGGUGAAAGCCCGAGAACAACAGUGUAUUGUAUGACUGUGUGUCACAUAUCCACAUGCAUUUUUAUUUAAUUAUUGAAUUUUUAUAAUUAUAGAAAUUAAAAUAUGUGGGUUGAUCAAUUCUAAUGGAAUGUUUCUUUUGUGUUCACUUGAAUCUUAGUAAUCCCAAUUAACCCCUUGGGUGUAAGGCACCCUACUGAGCAAUGUGGAAUGCUCACCCAUUCCUUCUUAUAUCUUUUUAGAUGCAGAUGUGACUCAUGAGGAUCCACAAAUGGGGCUUGGGAGGGCUUUAGGAAGCCCCAGGAUAUUUUGGAGUAGCUUAGUGGAUUGUAAUGUAUUUAUUAUGUUGGCUUAUUUUGGAACUUGUAUUAGCAAACUUUGAAGCUAUAUAUUUGUAAUGAGACUUUAUUCUGAUUAAUUUGCUGAACAACUCUUAUUUUUAGACUUUAAUAGUGAUAAUUAUUAUAUCUUAUUGCUCUUGAGUAGUGGUUGGUAUAUUGAUAAAUUGGAUUGUUAGUUGGAGAGAACUCUUGUGUGAUUUAUGUGUAUAAAAAAAAAAUUCAGAGCAUUUUGGUUGACUACCAGCAUGGAUUAGGAGAAACCCUUAGGGUCAAACAUUUUACUUGGGGUUAUGGGCCAAAUUUUGUGUCACCUGAAAUUUGGGUCGUGAAAACGUGGUAUCAAAGCUAAGGUUGCAAUAAUACCUUGGGGUCAGUGUUUGUGGGUGUUCGUGUGUAUUGUUAUGUUUAUGAUUUUUUGUAUGUGUUUAGUUAAUGAGCUGAUUAUUAAUUAAAUUAUUUAAUUGCUUAUUCUUGAUGUUUGAUAAAUCUUGUUAUGGUGCUUGUUAAUGAUAGUAAGAAGUGUUAUGGUGGUAAUUAUGUUGAAUUAUGUAUUAUGAUUGUAUUAAAGUGAAAGUUUUUAAUAGUUGUUGAAGUUGCCAAAUGGUUAUAUGUGAAUUUAUUUUGCCGACCUUGGAAGUAUGGUUGGAUUAGGGCUUGUUAGGAUUGAAAUGGCGGGAAGACCAAGAAGAGAAAGAGCUGAAAGAGAUGAGAAGCUAGAGUUGGUAAGGGAAGAACUCCGAGAAGUAAGAAGUGUAUUAUGGGAGACCGCUCAGUUAAUGAGAGGCCAGGGUUCCAUGAGGUUAGGAGGAACCCAAGGCUAGGAGGAUUCAGACCAUUCCCAGAGGAGGAGCCGUUCUAUUAGGUCAGUUAUGAGCCAAACGGAGGCAAUGAAGAGGUUCAUGGUGACGCAACCUCCAUCUUUUAAUGGAGAGCCCUAUGCUGAAGUAGCAGAACAUUGGUUUAGGAGAAUGAAGAGAAUUCUAGUGGGAUUGGACAUACCUGAGGAAAAAAUGGUAAGUUUGGUCGCGUACAUGCUAGUAGACGAUGCAAAUUUUUAAUGGGAAUCAAUGAAGAGAGUAUAUGACACUGAAGUGAUGACUUGGGAGGAAUUUGAAAGAAUCUUCCUGGGAAAAUAUUUUGGAGAGGUGGCUAAGCAUGCCAAGAGAAUGGAAUUUGAGCACCUCAUCUAAGAAACUAUGUUAGUGUUGGAAUAUGAAUCUCAUUUUUCAGAGUUGUCUAGAUUUGCCUUAGGGAUGAUUAGUGAGGAAGGAAAGAAGGCCAGGAGAUUCCAAUAGGGGUUUAGGCCUGCUAUUAGAAAUAGAUUGGUCCCAUUAGCUAUAAGGGACUAUUCUGAGUUGGUUAAGAGAGCUUUAUUGGUGGAGCAAGACAUAGAGGAAACCAAUCAAAUUCGAGAACAAAGAGAAGACAGAAAAGGGAAACAAAAAGUAAGGGAAAGUUACCAGACGAGAUUCGAGGGUCAGCAGCAGAGGUAGAGAGGUCAGUAAUUUGAAGGGAAUUCUUCGUUCUAUGUAAGAGGUGAGCAUAGUGCUUAAAUGGCGGCUAUUGCUAGAGUAUGUUAUGGUUAUGGGGCAGGAGAUCACUUAUGGAGGGCUUGCCCAUUAAGGGGCACACAAUAGGCUCAAUUUUAGCCUCAAGGAGGCCCCCAAUAGUAGCCAACAGUGCCUUUCCAGCCCCUUCAGUUUCACCUACCUUACUACCAGAUGCCGCAGUUAUCCCCAGCAGUGUAGGGAGCUUAGACAUCCACUAUGAGUAGUCAGACUUGAUCUUCUCAAGGGUCAAGUACUAGAGGUAGGGAGAGGUAGGCGGUAGGUAAAGUUUUUUCUUUGACCCCAAUAGAGCCAUAUGAUGACAUAUUUUUGGUGGAAUGUAUGGUUUUGGUCUAUAGUACUUGGGUUCGUGUUUUGUUUAAUAUUGGUGCAACUCAUUCUUUCAUUUCUGCAUCUUGUGCUAAUGUAUUGGGGUUGAAAAUAGAAAGGGUAGAAAAUUUGUUACUUAUCGAGUUCCCUAUGGGUGCAAAUUCUAGAGUUGAUAGAAUAUGGAAGGAGUGCAUUAUUACCUUGGCACAGAGAACACUUAAGGUCGAUUUAAGGAUUUUGGAUGUGAUUGGGUAUGAUGUUAUCAUGGGAAUGGAUUGGCUGACACUGUAUAGAGAGCUUAUUGAUUGUCAUUACCGUAGGAUAAUAUUUUGCCUACCAGAUGGAUUUGAGGUUUGCUUUGUUGGGGGGAAGUGUGUUAGUUUGCCUUUUUCCCAGUCUGAUCCGUGCUAACAGUAUGUGUUGAGGAAAUGAUCAGUAAAUUUCCUAGCUUGCCUUUGUAGUAAGGAGAAAGCCUAGAAGGACAUUAUAGAAAAUCUAGUGGUGAGGAAGUUUUAGGAUGUAUUUCUAGAUAAGCUACUAGGUUUACCACCACAUAGAGAGUUUGAUUUCUUUAUUGAAGUAUAUCCAGGAAUGGAUCCUAUUUUAGUAAUCCCCUAUAGGAUGACCCCUCUUGAGUUGAAGGAAUUGAAAACUCAAUUGGAAGAAUUGUUAAAUAAGGGUUUUAUUUAUCCAAGUACAUCUCCAUGGGAAGCCCUAGUGUUGUUUGUGAAGAAGAAAGAUGACACGUUAAGGUUGUGUAUUGACUAUAGGAAGUUGAAUAGAGUUACUGUGAAGAAUAAGUAUCCUCUUCCAAGGAUAGAUGACUUGUUUGAUCAGUUGAAGGGUGUGAAGUAUUUUAGUAAGAUUGACUUGAGAACUUGGUGUCAUCAAUUGAGGGUUAGAGAAGAAGAUGUCCCUAAAAUCGCUUUUAGAACGAGAUAUGGGCAUUAUGAAUUCUUAAUCAUACCUUUUGGGUUGACUAAUGCCCCCGUUGCUUUCAUGGAUUUAAUGAACAUAAUAUUUCAUGCUUGGAUCAGUUUGUGAUUGUCUUUGUGGAAGACAUCUUGAUUUACUUAAGGAGUUUGGAGGAGCAUAAACAAUAUUUGGUGACCACCCUUAGAACUUUAAGAAGACAUCAAUUGUAUGGAAAGUUAGACAAAAGUGAGUUUUGGCUUACUAAAGUGAAUUUCUUAGGCCAUGUGGUUUCUAAGGCAGGAAUAGAAGUGGACUAUUCCAAAGUGGAAGCUGUGAAUGAGUGGAAAAGGCCUACUAAUGUAUUUGAGGUUAGAAGUUUCUUGGGGAUGGCUGGAUAUUAUAGGAGGUUUGUGGAAGACUUCUCUAGAAUUGCAGCACCGAUGACUCGGUUGACUAGAAAAGGAGUGAAGUUUGAAUGGAAUGAGGAGUGUGAGAAUGCUUUCCAAGAGUUGAAGCGGAAAUUGACCACUGCUCCAGUUUUAACUACUCCUAUUAGUGGAGAGUUGUGUUACGGUUUAUUGUGAUGCUUCUAUAGUGGGGCUAGGGUGUGUGCUAAUGCAACAAGGCAAUGCGAUAGCUUAUGCCUCAAGGUAAUUAAAGUCGCAUGAGCGAAACUAUCCAACACAUGAUUUGGAGCUUGCAGCAGUGGUGUUUGUCCUUAAGACUUGGAGACACUAUUUGUAUGGAGAAAAAUUUAAGAUGUACUCUAAUCAUAAGAGUUUGAAAUACAUUUUCACUCAAAAGAAUCUAAACUCUAGGCAUAGGAGAUGGAUGGAGACAUUGGAAGAUUAUGAUUUUGCUCUUCAUUACCAUCCUGGAAAGGUGAAUGUUGUAGUAGAUGCCUUGAGUAGGAAGUGUUAUGGCCAAUUGUCUAGUUUAUGGUUGAGAGAGUUUGAGAUGCAUACAGUUAUUGAGGAUUUUGAGCUAUGUCUUGGUUAGGAAGGACAGAGUCCAUGCUUGUACAAUAUAUCAGCUAGACCAAUGAUUAUUUAAAGAAUAGUGGAGGCCUAAUUUCAUGAUGAGUUUUUAGAAAAGGUUAAAACUAGUUGGUAAAAGGUGAAGUAGAUGAAAAUUGGUCUAUGCAUGUAGAUUAGAGUGUGAGAUUUAAAGGAAGAUUGUGUGUGCCAAGGAAUUUGGAGUUGAGGAAUGAACUUCUAGCAGAUGCUCAUAGGGUAAAGUAUACCAUCCACUUUAGGAGUACCAAAAUGUAUCAAGACUUAAAGAGAUAGUUUUGGUGGAGUGGGAUGAAGAGAGACAUGGCUCAGUAUGUAGCUAAUUGUCAGACUUGUCAACAAGUGAAGACUGAACACUAAAGGCCUGUAGGGUUAUUGCAAUCUUUACCUAUAAUUGAGUGGAAGUGGGAUCAUAUCACUAUGGACUUUGUGAUAGGGUUGCCAAGAACUAGAAGCAAGAAAAAAGGAGUUUGAGUGAUUGUGGAUCGUCUUACUAAGUCAGCUCAUUUUCUAGCCAUGAAGACUACUGACUCCAUGAACUCUUUAGCUAAGUUGUAUAUACAGGAGAUUUUCAGAUUGCAUGGGAUACCUUUGUCUAUAAUGUUUGGCAAGGACCCUAAGUUUACUUCUCAGUUUUGGCAGAGUGUACAAAGGGCUUUGGGCACCCAAUUAAAUUUUAGCACCGUUUUUCACCCUUAGACAUAUGGUCAGUCAGAAAAAGUGAUCCAGAUUUUAAAAGACAUGUUGAGGGCUUGUAUUUUGGACUUUGGAGGGAAUUGGGCCAACUACUUACCUUUGGCAGAGUUUGCUUAUAACAAUAGUUACCAAUCUAGCAUUGGCAUGACAUCUUAUGAAGCACUCUAUGGGAGACCUUGUAGAUCGCCCUUGUGUUGGAUA
rnacentral:lncRNA from 1 species